rnacentral:misc_RNA from 1 species
AAGUCGUAACAAGGUCUCCGUAGGUGAACCUGCGGAGGGAUCAUUACUGAGUGAGGGCUCACGCCCGACCUCCAACCCUUUGUGAACGUAACUUGUUGCUUCGGGGGCGACCCUGCCGUCAUCUGGCGACGGGCGCCCCCGGAGGCCUUCAAACACUGCAUCUUUGCGUCGGAGUAAAAGUUAAUUAAACAAAACUUUCAACAACGGAUCUCUUGGUUCUG